rnacentral:rRNA from 1 species
GUGGGGAAUAUUGGACAAUGGGGGGAACCCUGAUCCAGCCAUGCCGCGUGUGUGAAGAAGGCCUUUUGGUUGUAAAGCACUUUAAGCGAGGAGGAGGCUACCGAGAUUAAUACUCUUGGAUAGUGGACGUUACUCGCAGAAUAAGCACCGGCUAACUCUGUGCCAGCAGCCGCGGUAAGACAGAGGGUGCAAGCGUUAAUCGGAUUUACUGGGCGUAAAGCGCGCGAAGGUGGCCAAUUAAGUCAAAUGUGAAAUCCCCGAGCUUAACUUGGGAAUUGCAUUCGAUACUGGUUGGCUAGAGUAUGGGAGAGGAUGGUAGAAUUCCAGGUGUAGCGGUGAAAUGCGUAGAGAUCUGGAGGAAUACCGAUGGCGAAGGCAGCCAUCUGGCCUAAUACUGACACUGAGGUGCGAAAGCAUGAGGAGCAAACAGGAUUAGAAACCCGUGUAGUCC